rnacentral:rRNA from 1 species
ACGCUCGACACCUACGGGNGGCAGCAGUGGGGAAUAUUGCACAAUGGGGGAAACCCUGAUGCAGCGACGCCGCGUGAGCGAAGAAGUAUUUCGGUAUGUAAAGCUCUAUCAGCAGGGAANAACUAGUGGACCGUCUGAACUAAGACNCCGCCGAUAACUGCGCCAGCCAGGACUCGGUAGUACGUCGGACGGUCGGGGCCGGUAAGGGACCGAACGGACGG